rnacentral:rRNA from 1 species
CCUACGGGUGGCAGCAGUGGGGAAUAUUGGACAAUGGGCGAAAGCCUGAUCCAGCCAUGCCGCGUGUGUGAAGAAGGCCUUCGGGUUGUAAAGCACUUUCAGUGGGGAAGAAAGCCUUGGGGCUAAUACCCUCGAGGAAGGACAUCACCCACAGAAGAAGCACCGGCUAACUCCGUGCCAGCAGCCGCGGUAAUACGGAGGGUGCGAGCGUUAAUCGGAAUUACUGGGCGUAAAGCGCGCGUAGGCGGUCUGAUAAGCCGGUUGUGAAAGCCCCGGGCUCAACCUGGGAACGGCAUCCGGAACUGUCAGGCUAGAGUGCAGGAGAGGAAGGUAGAAUUCCCGGUGUAGCGGUGUAAUGCGUAGAGAUCGGGAGGAAUACCAGUGGCGAAGGCGGCCUUCUGGACUGACACUGACGCUGAGGUGCGAAAGCGUGGGUAGCAAACAGGAUUAGAUACCCCGGUAUUC